rnacentral:rRNA from 1 species
AAAAGAAACUAACAAGGAUUCCCCUAGUAACGGCGAGUGAAGCGGGAUGAGCUCAAAUUUGUAAUCUGGUGGACUCAGUUCAUCCGAGUUGUAAUCUAUAGAAGUGUUUUCCGCGCUGGACCGUGUCUAAGUCCCUUGGAACAGGGUGUCAGAGAGGGUGAGAAUCCCGUGCUUGAUACGAUCACCAGUGCUAUGUGAUACACUUUCAACGAGUCGAGUUGUUUGGGAAUGCAGCUCAAAAUGGGUGGUAAAUUCCAUCUAAAGCUAAAUAUUGGCGAGAGACCGAUAGCGAACAAGUACCGUGAGGGAAAGAUGAAAAGCACUUUGGAAAGAGAGUUAAACAGUACGUGAAAUUGUUAAAAGGGAAACGAUUGAAGUCAGUCGUGCUCUCUGGGACUCAGCCGGUUCUUCCGGUGUACUUCCCAGUGAGCGGGUCAACAUCAGUUUAGAUCGCUGGAUAAAGGUAUUAGGAAGGUGGCUCCCUCGGGAGUGUUAUAGCCUAGUAUCGCAUACAGUGGUUUAGACUGAGGAACGCAGCUCGCCUUUAUGGCCGGGGUUCGCCCACGUCCGAGCUUAGGAUGUUGACAUAAUGGCUUUAAACGACC